AGAGUUUGAUCAUGGCUCAGAGCGAACGCUGGCGGCAGGCCUAAUACAUGCAAGUCGAGCGGGUCCUUCGGGAUUAGCGGCGGACGGGUGAGUAACGCGUGGGAACGUGCCCUUUGGUACGGAACAACUGAGGGAAACUUCAGCUAAUACCGUAUGUGCCCUUCGGGGAAAGAUUUAUCGCCAUUGGAGCGGCCCGCGUUGGAUUAGGUAGUUGGUGAGGUAAAGGCUCACCAAGCCUACGAUCCAUAGCUGGUCUGAGAGGAUGACCAGCCACACUGGGACUGAGACACGGCCCAGACUCCUACGGGAGGCAGCAGUAGGGAAUCUUGCGCAAUGGGCGAAAGCCUGACGCAGCCAUGCCGCGUGAAUGAUGAAGGUCUUAGGAUUGUAAAAUUCUUUCACCGGGGACGAUAAUGACGGUACCCGGAGAAGAAGCCCCGGCUAACUUCGUG
rnacentral:rRNA from 1 species